rnacentral:lncRNA from 1 species
CGCAGGCGCAUUAAGAGCCUUUAAGCGACCUCCUCCUACGCGCCGCCAGUAGGGGGCGCCGCAGCAACACUGCGCAGGCGUCACUGGGAAGCCGGGGAAACUAGAGGUAGAGUUCCACAGUACGUUUCUCUAUACCUGCGGUAAUUGUGGAGAACCCCGUCUUUUAAAUCAAGUGAUAAUCCUUAUCACUGAUAAACUUUAAUCCUUUUCUGGUUAAACAGGUGAAACGUGAGAGAUAAUAAAAUCCAUCCAGGGAAUGUGAGAAGGUCAAAAGUGAAAGGUGAAAGUUCACUACAUAGCCUCUCUCAUGCACAUUGUCACCAGGAAAGGAAAGGUCGGCAAAUGUAAUUGGAAAGAACUACAUGAAGGUUCCAGGAAUAAAUCCAAGUCUUCCAGUUUGGCAGGAACCUUUACCUGCUGAGCCAUCUUGCUGCCUCUCCUCUAAGGAAAAAUUAUUAUUCUUAAUUGUGGACAUGUGUGAGGAUUCACAUGCGAGUGCAUUAACUAUGGGCCAUCCCCCUGGGAUAGGAGUUGCACGUGGUUGUGAAACAUUCAGUGUGAGUACUGAGCAACAAGUGCUCUAAACUGCUGAGCCUUUUCUCCAGCCCUUUAAAAGAAUGGGUGCAGAGGAAAUGAAAGAAAGGGGGAAGAAAAAAAUUAAAGAGGGGGUUAUCACUGUAGUCACUUCCGUUAAAAGAAUAAAGCAGGGCUGGAGAGAUGGCUCAGCGAUUAAGAGCACCCGACUACUCUUCCAGAGGUCCUGAGUUCAAUUCCCAGCAACCACAUGGUGGCUCACAACCAUCUAUAAAGAGAUCCGAUGCCCUCUUCUGGUGUAUCUGAAGACAGCUACAGUGUGCUCAUAUGC